CCCAUGCUGGAGAGAGCAGUAUGAUUAGCGAAUGAGGGACUCUGCAGAGGCAGUUUGGGGCUGCACCAGGGGAGUUUGAGAAGAUAAAGCUCUGGAUCCCUGCCUCACCAACACACACACUUCAACCAGAACAGCCCCACUUUUACCAAUUUUAUAUGUUUUUUUAUAAAUUCAUAGAUUUUCUUUGAAAUAAGAUGGCAUUACAUUUUUAAAGUUUAAAAGCCAAUUAGCUCUAAAGCCAUCCAAUCAUCAGAUUCACCUUGAAAAAGAGACUUCUAGACUUCCAGCUUCCCAUUUGGCAUGUUAGGAGCUCAGAAGUCACCACUCCGUCUUAAAAAUAAGUGAAAAGCUAAAUAAACUGAAAAAUCAACACCUCUUCUUAGUUUCGUCAGACAAGUGGGUUCACCAGGUAAACCACUGCCGCAAAACAUGGAGAGACAAGUGGAUACAGAGAAUUACAACUUACUGGAGCAGAAACCUCCACCAGAACCAGUGCCAAGGUAGGAAAACCUGAACUGCAACGGAUGAAUUGCUGGAGGCUCAGUAUGGACAAGUCUGAGAGUCAAAAACUCUAGUCAUAGAGAGGGACUCCAUGCUUUUGUGAGUUUUACCUUCAGGAGCUUGACCGGGUCCUCACAGUAUAUAUCAGAGAAAAAUCUCCUCAUGCUUCCAGCAGGUGCAAGAUGAAAGGAACCAUUUUGAAAUAUGCCAGAGCAUUCUGUUCUUCUUAACAAGGCUUGCCCUCAGGUGAAACUAUUCUAUCAGAGCCUGACCUGCUGGAGUUUUAUCAGAGCCCAACUGACUUGGGAAAAGGGAAAUACCCAACUCUAGCUCCCUCUAGCCAUCCUAUCCUACCUAAGGUGGGGGGAUAGGGUAUAGCAAAUCACUGGUGAAGUUCACAGUCUAGGGACACAGGCUCACCACAAGACUGAAGCCUCAUCACAGGACUAUAGAACACUUCCCCUUCCCCUGCAUCUCACCACCAUAUUACUAAAGGCCUAUUUAUCACAGUUCCUUUUACCCAGGACAUUAUGUCUACCUUCCAACAAAAAAUGGCAAGGCA
rnacentral:lncRNA from 1 species